AUGAUUUUAGUGCUUGCACUAAAUGAAACUAGAUACAAGCGAGCGGCGGACGGGUGAGUAACACGUGGGUAACCUGCCCAAGAGACUGGGAUAACACCUGGAAACAGAUGCUAAUACCGGAUAACAACACUAGACGCAUGUCUAGAGUUUGAAAGAUGGUUCUGCUAUCACUCUUGGAUGGACCUGCGGUGCAUUAGCUAGUUGGUAAGGUAACGGCUUACCAAGGCAAUGAUGCAUAGCCGAGUUGAGAGACUGAUCGGCCACAUUGGGACUGAGACACGGCCCAAACUCCUACGGGAGGCAGCAGUAGGGAAUCUUCCACAAUGGACGAAAGUCUGAUGGAGCAACGCCGCGUGAGUGAAGAAGGGUUUCGGCUCGUAAAGCUCUGUUGGUAGUGAAGAAAGAUAGAGGUAGUAACUGGCCUUUAUUUGACGGUAAUUACUUAGAAAGUCACGGCUAACUACGUGCCAGCAGCCGCGGUAAUACGUAGGUGGCAAGCGUUGUCCGGAUUUAUUGGGCGUAAAGCGAGUGCAGGCGGUUCAAUAAGUCUGAUGUGAAAGCCUUCGGCUCAACCGGAGAAUUGCAUCAGAAACUGUUGAACUUGAGUGCAGAAGAGGAGAGUGGAACUCCAUGUGUAGCGGUGGAAUGCGUAGAUAUAUGGAAGAACACCAGUGGCGAAGGCGGCUCUCUGGUCUGCAACCGACGCUGAGGCUCGAAAGCAUGGGUAGCGAACAGGAUUAGAUACCCUGGUAGUCCAUGCCGUAAACGAUGAGUGCUAAGUGUUGGGAGGUUUCCGCCUCUCAGUGCUGCAGCUAACGCAUU
rnacentral:rRNA from 1 species